AUCUGAUCAUAAUAUUUAUCUUUGCAGAAUUGCCACAAUCAUGUUCUGUAAUGAAAACCUGGAAUUGUAUCAGAAUUAAGUAUACUAUAUAUGGUUCUCGUUUGAAAAUUGAAGUUGAUCCUUGAAAGCCAAGAAACAUUAACGAAAAAUAGAAUUUCAGUAGAUCAUGAAACUUUGUGAGAAAGCUGGCUUUCUAUUGCUCGGUAAAUGCAAUGCCCAUUUGGUUUGAUCUCAAUGAUGGUUAACCCCAUCGGUCUUCUUCUCGAACUUUUCGUUCUCAGACCAUACGAUCACUUGUCACAUUGCUUUGCUCUAUCCGAUUCUUCCUUGGCUCGUUUCUCGCGUCUCUUGCUCGGCUUUGAGUGUUCUUGCUGAGCAGUGUGAGUGAGACUCCAGCGAUGGUUCUCACUAAAGUGUACAUAUCUCCUUUUUCUCAUCGGUUUCCUCCUUGGAGAUGUUGCUGCUGCUGUACAUAUCUCUAAGCUUUUUGGGAAUUUUUGAUAAUGUAUUCUUCCACUUGCUUCUUCUAUGCUUUUUGUUCAUUUUUGCUUCCUUUCGGAGCAGCCUUUCUCAUCUCCGACUCCUUGUUCUGUAGUUGUUCGAUCUCUUCCUACAAUAAAAUGGCAUGCAUCAUCAUGAUCGACAACAACAUUCAUAAUAAUAAAUCGAGUAAUAAACAUUGUCAAAUAUCCAAAGCGGGCACAAAACUAAAACUUC
rnacentral:lncRNA from 1 species